rnacentral:sRNA from 10 species
AUGAUACAAGGGUCAAAAGGUCAUGCGUUUCAUGCUUGCAUGAAAAAGCAUGACUUAUUGACCCGCAAAACACCGAANAGUAGCCAUUUUUCGUAGAAAAAUGAGCGGAUUUGAGGUGUUUUUAGGAUUGCGAGGGCAUGAAAUGCGAAGCAAUCCCGUGUAUCAU